rnacentral:rRNA from 1 species
CGGGGUACUCGAGUGGCGAACGGGUGAGUAACACGUGGGCAAUCUGCCCUGCACACCGGGAUAAGCCUGGGAAACUGGGUCUAAUACCGGAUAGGACCACUUGGCGCAUGCCUUGUGGUGGAAAGCUUUUGCGGUGUGGGAUGGGCCCGCGGCCUAUCAGCUUGUUGGUGGGGUGACGGCCUACCAAGGCGACGACGGGUAGCCGGCCUGAGAGGGUGUCCGGCCACACUGGGACUGAGAUACGGCCCAGACUCCUACGGGAGGCAGCAGUGGGGAAUAUUGCACAAUGGGCGCAAGCCUGAUGCAGCGACGCCGCGUGGGGGAAUGACGGCCUUUCCGGGUUGUAAACCUCUUUCACCAUCGACGAAGGUCCGGGUUUUCUCGGAUUGACGGUAGGUGGAGAAGAAGCACCGGCCAACUACGUGCCAGCAGCCGCGGUAAUACGUAGGGUGCGAGCGUUGUCCGGAAUUACUGGGCGUAAAGAGCUCGUAGGUGGUUUGUCGCGUUGUUCGUGAAAUCUCACGGCUUAACUGUGAGCGUGCGGGCGAUACGGGCAGACUAGAGUACUGCAGGGGAGACUGGAAUUCCUGGUGUAGCGGUGGAAUGCGCAGAUAUCAGGAGGAACACCGGUGGCGAAGGCGGGUCUCUGGGCAGUAACUGACGCUGAGGAGCGAAAGCGUGGGGAGCGAACAGGAUUAGAUACCCUGGUAGUCCACGCCGUAAACGGUGGGUACUAGGUGUGGGUUUCCUUCCUUGGGAUCCGUGCCGUAGCUAACGCAUUAAGUACCCCGCCUGGGGAGUACGGCCGCAAGGCUAAAACUCAAAGGAAUUGACGGGGGCCCGCACAAGCGGCGGAGCAUGUGGAUUAAUUCGAUGCAACGCGAAGAACCUUACCUGGGUUUGACAUGCACAGGACGCGUCUAGAGAUAGGCGUUCCCUUGUGGCCUGUGUGCAGGUGGUGCAUGGCUGUCGUCAGCUCGUGUCGUGAGAUGUUGGGUUAAGUCCCGCAACGAGCGCAACCCUUGUCUCAUGUUGCCAGCGGGUAAUGCCGGGGACUCGUGAGAGACUGCCGGGGUCAACUCGGAGGAAGGUGGGGAUGACGUCAAGUCAUCAUGCCCCUUAUGUCCAGGGCUUCACACAUGCUACAAUGGCCGGUACAAAGGGCUGCGAUGCCGCGAGGUUAAGCGAAUCCUUUUAAAGCCGGUCUCAGUUCGGAUCGGGGUCUGCAACUCGACCCCGUGAAGUCGGAGUCGCUAGUAAUCGCAGAUCAGCAACGCUGCGGUGAAUACGUUCCCGGGCCUUGUACACACCGCCCGUCACGUCAUGAAAGUCGGUAACACCCGAAGC